CCAAAUAAAAACUGUGCACUAUCCUCAAUGUGCUAAAAUAAUAUAAAACAAAGAGAAGUUAGAACAUACCUAGAGUGCACUAAGCAUCCGUGUGGCUUGGGUUUCAUCCCAAGAAGGGAUUGAUUUACCGUAGCAGCAAGACUCAGCUACCUUGGCUACUCAAACUUUGCCAAGGUCCAUUUUAACAAAGACUCUAACUUUCUCUAGGUUUUACAUGUAGUUCUUAACCUGUUUGUUGUUUACCUUAAACGGUAUGUCACCAUCACGCUUUAUCUCAUUGGCACCAUAUGGUAAUACCUUAACCACAGUAAAU
rnacentral:lncRNA from 1 species